rnacentral:rRNA from 1 species
AGAAUCAACGCUGGCGGCGUGCCUAACACAUGCAAGUCGAACGAGAAAGUGGAGCAAUCCAUGAGUAAAGUGGCGCACGGGUGAGUAACACGUGACUAACCUACCCUUGAGUGGGGAAUAAACUUCGGGAAACCGAGGCUAAUACCGCAUAACACCUACGGGUCAAAGGAGCAAUUCGCUUAAGGAGGGGGUCGCGGCAGAUUAGUUAGUUGGCGGGGUAAUGGCCCACCAAGACUGUGAUCUGUA